CCUACGGGAGGCAGCAGUGAGGAAUAUUGGUCAAUGGACGAGAGUCUGAACCAGCCAAGUAGCGUGAAGGAUGACUGCCCUAUGGGUUGUAAACUUCUUUUAUAAAGGAAUAAAACGAGGCACGUGUGCCUUUUUGCAUGUACUUUAUGAAUGAGGAUCGGCUAACUCCGUGCCAGCAGCCGCGGUAAUACGGAGGAUCCGAGCGUUAUCCGGAUUUAUUGGGUUUAAAGGGAGCGUAGAUGGGUUGUUAAGUCAGUUGUGAAAGUUUGCGGCUCAACCGUAAAAUUGCAAUUGAUACUGGCAGUCGUGAGUACAGUUGAGGUAGGCGGAAUUCGUGGUGUAGCGGUGAAAUGCUUAGAUAUCACGAAGAACCCCGAUUGCGAAGGCAGCUUACUAAACUGUGACUGACAUUGAUGCUCGAAAGUGUGGGUAUCAAACAGGAUUAGAUACCCUAGUAGUC
rnacentral:rRNA from 1 species